rnacentral:lncRNA from 1 species
CCACUAUGAUCAAUAAUAUGGUACAAAAGAAUCUCCAACAAUAAUACCAAAAGGUAUUUUCAAUAAGCCAAAUUAACUAAGCACAAAUGCUUACAAAUGAGAACAAAGAAGAUGAAAAUCCUCCAAAACAGGGCUGCUGGUGCGGGACCGAUUUCUCCCAAACUAGACCUCCAUUUGAAGAUCCGAACGGUCAAAAUGAAGAACCAUACGUCUGGAAACUACUGUCCAAAAAUCAGCUCGAUCCAACGGUUAACGACUUCACAGCGACGAAAACACCAGUGCAGGUUUAGGGUUAUGCGAGAAUGGC